UCCUCUCUCCUCUUCCCCGAUCUCUCUUUCCCUCACGUCGGCUUUUUCUCUUCUUUUUCCGAUUUCUUCACCGUCCGGCGUCCAAUUGAUGCAACACCGACUGGGCUAGGACCGCCUCCUCCUCCUCUACACGGCUGUGGCCAUGGUUCACGGCGAUUUGGCCGGAAAACCAUCAAUUUUGGCCAAAAACCGUUAUUGUAGCAGUUUGGUCUCCGGCUAAAUUCUCCAUUUUUCGGCCACUUCCGGCGGUGAAACCAGGUCCAUUAGGAGCGCCUCGAGUCACUGAUCAUCUUCCCUCAAGGCUUCUAGCUGAAAUUCUCACUAGGGAGAAAGAACUGACGGCGGGAAGUUUUGGGUCACUAUUCACGAAAUCGGGUUCAAGCUUCUCCUUAAUUGUUGAGGGCAAUGUCGUGAGCUAUGGCUAGAUGAAGGAACUCGUUUACGUGGUCGCCCAAUAGUACUUGUGCAGGCGAAUUAGUGGAGGUCGGGCGUACAUGACAUUUGAGGCAUAGUUGUCAUUACUUCCGCAGUGUAGGAUCCCUUGAUCCUUUACUCUUCUUUUUAUAUCCCUGUGUAUAGUAGUAUUGCUCUGAUAACCUUUGACAUUAGUAUUGUUGAGUUUUGUGUUUUGUGAAAGUGGAGUUGUUGGAAAUUGGGAGCAGGGUGGCUCCAGGAGUAUAAGAUUGGUUUGCUUGAAGUG